UUAUUAGUUGAUCAUGGCUCAGAGUGNAACGCUGGCUNUGUAAGGCCUAACACAUGCAAGUCGAACGGCAGCACAGGAGAGCUUGCUCUCUGGGUGGCGAGUGGCGGACGGGUGAGUGAAUACAUCGGAAUCUACUCUGUCGUGGGGGAUAACGUAGGGAAACUUACGCUAAUACCGCAUACGACCUACGGGUGAAAGCAGGGGAUCUUCGGACCUUGCGCGAUUGAAUGAGCCGAUGUCGGAUUAGCUAGUUGGCGGGGUAAAGGCCCACCAAGGCGACGAUCCGUAGCUGGUCUGAGAGGAUGAUCAGCCACACUGGAACUGAGACACGGUCCAGACUCCUACGGGAGUGCAGCAGUGGGGAAUAUUGGACAAUGGGCGCAAGCCUGAUCCAGCCAUACCGCGUGGGUGAAGAAGGCCUUCGGGUUGUAAAGCCCUUUUGUUGGGAAAGAAAUCCAGCCGGCUAAUACCUGGUUGGGAUGACGGUACCCAAAGAAUAAGCACCGGCUAACUUCGUGCCAGCAGCCGCGGUAAUACGAAGGGUGCAAGCGUUACUCGGAAUUACUGGGCGUAAAGCGUGCGUAGUGGUUAUUUAAGUCCGUUGUGAAAGCCCUGGCUCACUGGGAAACUGCCGUGGAUACCUGGGGUUACNU
rnacentral:rRNA from 1 species